rnacentral:lncRNA from 1 species
UGAAUUUGUUCAUUAUGAAGUAUUACAAUUAAAGUAGCAUCAGAGUAUGAUUAUAGAAGUGAAGUUGUUGAAUCCAAUAUGUUGGUAAGAUGUAUUAGAAUUUGAGAUUAUCAUUGGUCGAGUAAAUUUGUUAUUUUAGUUUGUUACUUGAGGACAAUUAGCAUUUUAAGUUUGAGGUUUUGAUGGAAGUCACUUAAAGAAGUAUUUAUUUGAAUUUUUAUAGUAUUUUA